AAUCAACGCUGGCGGCGUGCCUCAGACAUGCAAGUCGAACGAUUAAAGCUCUCUUCGGAGAGUGUAUAGAGUGGCGCACGGGUGAGUAACACGUAAGUAAUCUACCCUCGAGUGGGGAAUAACGUCCGGAAACGGACGCUAAUACCGCAUAAUGCAGCGGCACCGCAAGGUGACAGUUGUUAAAGAUUUAUCGCUUGAGGAGGAGCUUGCGGCAGAUUAGCUAGNGGUAAGGUAAUGGCUUACCAAGGCUACGAUCUGUAACCGGUCUAAGAGGACGGUCGGUCACACUGACACUGAAUAACGGGUCAGACUCCUACGGGAGGCAGCAGUCGGGAAUUUUGGGCAAUGGGCGAAAGCCUGACCCAGCAACGCCGCGUGAAGGAUGAAGUAUUUCGGUAUGUAAACUUCGAAAGAAUGGGAAGAAUCAAUGACGGUACCAUUUAUAAGGUCCGGCUAACUACGUGCCAGCCGCCG
rnacentral:rRNA from 1 species